AAUAAACCAAUCUUCUGCUUUUUACCUAUAAUGUUUGACUCUUCGUAUUAUUCAAAAAUUUAAGAUUAAUAUUUUUGUUUUUAUUAAAUAUUAAAUCAUAAAUAAUAUUUUACGUAUGACUAAUUUUUUUUUAAUUUUUUGAAAAAGUUUAAAUAAGACGGAUGGUCAAAUGAUGGACAUGGAUAGUCAAAAGUUUGUCUAAU
rnacentral:pre_miRNA from 1 species